CGGAUCCAACCAUGUAGAUCCGAAUUCUAUCAUGGUGGAAUUCGGAUCUAUAUGGUUGGAUCCGG
rnacentral:pre_miRNA from 16 species